AUUCCCCUGUCUUUGAAGACUGAGAACUCAGUGCCUGUUGUCACCACACUUCUGUCUCCAUCAUCACCACUGCAGAGCUGCAGCUUCCUUACCCCCUGAGAACCCAGCCCCUAGUGCCCCUGCCCCUUGCCCUGCCCUCCCUCAGUAUCCAGCAUCCUUUGGCUCUGAAGCUGUCACCACCGCCACCUCUGCCGUCCCCAACGCCAUCUCCUCAGGGCCAGCAAGAUGCAGUUUGAGAUGCACGACAACGUGAAAGGCAAAGCCAUGUCCUAUCCAGUGACCAGUCAGCCCCAGUGUGCCAGCAGCUGCUACCAGACCCAGCCCAGUGACUGGCACACCGGUCUCACGGACUGCUGCAACGACAUGCCCGUCUGUGAGUAGCCGGCUGCUCCCUCUCCAGGCCCGGGGAAGAGCGGGAUGGGAGAGAAGGUCACCCCAACCUCCUCCUGGCCCUACUAGCCCCACUCCCCGCCGCCUUCCUUGGGCCCUGCAUUCCCACCCUCUAACCCUCAUGCCUUCCGCGGACGCCCGACACUCCCUAGGAUCCUGGCCUCACACCUUCCAGCUUCUACUCGGACCUUCGACGUCCGCCUUGCGGUUCCCCCCUCAACUGUCUUGCUUGCGGCCAACUCCCCCCUCAAACCCUAUUUCCUAGCCUCGAAACGCCCCCUCCUCGGACCCCUAAUUCCCUCUGGGG